GCCUUGUUAGCUCAAUGGUAGAGCGUCAGACUCUUACAGUCCCACUGACUGGGUAAGAGUCUGGAAGGUUGUAGGUUCGAUUCCCGUGCGAGGCC